GGGCGUGUGGCUCAGUUGGUAGAGCGUUCGCUUAGCAUCUUCUCAAGUUGCGAAAGGUCCUGGGUUCGAUUCCCAGCCCGUCCA